UAUAAAAAAAACACUGAUAAUAUAUGCAUUGUCUUUGAAACUGAUUGGUCCACACACAACACAUUUGUCGACACCGCUUUGAAAAGAAAACAUGUGUAAGUGUGUGUGUGCUUGUGAAUAACAGCCAUUGCCCAAAAUAUUGCCUUUCAUAUACUUCUCCUUAAGGUAGUCUAGACGAUUGUGUUGAUUAUGUUCUUGUUAUUUGUGCUUGUGCCAAUGCAUCAUCACCAAAUAAUGUGUUAAAUAUUCGUGAAUGGAAAAAAAAACAUUUCCGAGUGAUGUGAUGGAAUUUGGCAAGCAUAUUUUAUAAGUGUUUGAAUUAUAUUGUUGAAAAGAUAGCAGGCUUCAGAAUGAAACCUGUAUUUAAUAAUUUUAAGACAUGCAGAGGGUUCGUACCUGGGUCUCAGCCACACAAUACUAAUGGAGCAUAUUCUACGCUGUAUUCAGUCUACCAGGCAUUCUAUGUGUAUGCCACAAAUCUUCCACGACGAGCAGUUUUCAUUAUUUUGGUUACUGCUGAACAGAAAUAUACGAAAAUUGGUUCUUUUCAAAAUCGCACGUGCAUUUAUUUUACCAUCAUAGACUAAAAAUGGUUAAAACGUUGAAUUGUGUAGGAUGAUUGGCGGGCCGCCAUUAUUAACUGUGAGAACAUCACAAAAUAGUAAAGGAAUCGACUGCAGCCAGCCCUCGGAAAGUUCUUGAAUUAUUAUUUACAAAUCGUGUCCAGUGGGUUUUAGGUACAUUCGUUCUUUGAUUAUUCAUUUACUUAGACCCAAACAAACUUACAAAUUGCUUCUUCAGACGUUGCUUGGGCUGCUCGGGGCGCAGAGGAGCUGCGCACUUGAUGUCCUUGCCAACUUCCAUUACAUCACACGAGGAGUCGAAACGCGUUGGCCCCGUCCAACAAGAUUUGACUGGUUGUGCAUUGCCUGGCAGGUCUGCGUUAACUUUCCAGCCAGUUGCCCAGCAUCAACAUUCACGUUUCUACACAUUUUACAGGAAUAACUUUGUGCAGCACAAUUCGGUGACUGGAAGUGUUUACUGGAAAUGUGAAUUUUCAGUUUUCACUAGAAAAGUAAAAUAUGGCAAUUACGUGCAAUGGGCGUUUCCUUUGUUUUGUUAAGAUGUGUUUAGUUUUUCUGCAUUUUGUCAGCAUUUUUAUUUAAUUUAUAAUGUUCUUGUCACAAUAAUUACAAAAGCACAAUCACGUGGAUAUAUACCAAACGGGAGGAAAAAUAUUGUGCUUACAAUUUACCAUCUUUUAAUGUCACCUUUGCUUUACAAUGCUAUCAAGUCAUGCAAAAUUUACAAUGGAAAUAACACGGAAAGCAAUUAUAAGAGAGGAAAUGUGCAUGUGACGAUUUGUCAAGAGGGCCCAUUUUUAUCUAGGACGAAGGGGAUAUAAAUAAGACUCCUUUUAAGACAUUAAUAGGCACCGCAAAGCAAUAACAACGAAAUGCAUUUAACUGUUUUGACUACUUUUGAAAUCCACAGCAAGUGUACAAUUAGGUGCCGUCCAAAAGCACCCCCAAGCCUUAUAUGUCCCUCGUCCAGUUAAUUUUGCCUACAUCGUGAAAGGUAUUUCAUUCUGAUGCACUUUUCACACAACUUUUACUGGCAGGUGCUUGCCCUGCAUUCCUUGGAGACAAGCCAAUUAAUUAAAUGUUAAAGGUGGCCAGAUUUACCACCCGGUAACUUUAAAAAAAUCACCGGGCGGUAAAUGGAUUUUUUUUUUCAAAACACAGCCAGGCGCACUUUGGCAAGGAAUUUUUGGCUGAGCUGAUUAUCUCUAUGUGUGUUUAAUAACGUACCACUGAAUUAUUUUGUAAAAAUCAGGUGUUCAUGAAUAACAACAAUUUAGCAACACUGCAUGUCCCAUCAGGCAGGAAGACAGCAUUGGAGAGAUGAUAAAACCCAACAUGUCAGUCCAGUGCUGACAUGUUGGUCUCACAAGCCAUGAAUUUAGUUAGGAAGGCUUCCAGCAGAUGUCGUGUGAAUGUAUUGCAAAGUGAAUGACUUUGGCAGCUGAGUUACCUGUAGUGUGCACAGGAAUACAGAAGCAAACUACUCGUGUUAAUUCAGAAUGGACCGUUUGUAAUUUUUUCGGAAAAUGUCCCAGUUUUCUCAGAGCCCCCAGAGUGUGAUCUCUGACUGUCGGCCAAUCUACCUGCCCUCUCUCUCUCUCUCUGCACUGAAACAGAGCUGUUACCUGAAAUUUCAGCCUGCUAAAUGUUUUCUGCUAUCAAGGAGUCCUAAUGAUUAGUGUUAAGAGUGUGUUUAUUUCAUGCAAUUCAACUAAGGUUGAGAGCUUUAAUGCAGUAGCUCAGUCCGUUUGCCAUUCUGUCUGUCUAAAGACGAAUUAAACUGAAGCGUGCAGUUAUGUAGCUAUUAAAGCUUCGCCGUGAAUGAAACAGGGCUCAUUUAUGAAAGGGGCUGCUUAACGCUUGGACACACUAAUCAUCACUAAAUUGAUUCUUCUUGACGUUUGCACCGUAGCGAUCGAGGUUCCUGUGCCUCCCCUCGUCCCUCGCUUCCCGAUGACGUCGCUGUGCACGACGUCGCCUUCUCGUUGCGGGGUUUGAAACGUAGCGUCAUCGCCGCUUCAUUAAAUUCCUCCUUUCGGAAUCCAUGUAUUUGCACGUUUUCUUCUUUUGUUUUGCACAUUGGAAAGAAAUACAUUUCCUUAAGAAUUUCUGACACUUUCCCCGUAGAAAUGUAAAUAGUGGAACAUUAAUCCUUGUGAUAUGAGUUUAUGCUUUCAAAUAACUCCCCCCCCCUCCACCCACCUCGGUUAAACCACGUUUUACGUUCGCGCUGAAUGCUUUUUCUAUUGUAAAUUUGUGAAAAAGGGCCACGUGAAAUGUCCUCUUGAUUACGAGUUGCACGUGCAAUGCGGCAAAGACGAUUAUAGGUGGGACUUGACAUUGUCGCACUCAUGCCAUACUUAUUCUUCUCUGAUUUUGACUUUCAUGUCGUGGCUCAUGAGCCACACGGGCUGAUGUGAAGCUCUUGCCCGUUCAUUGAAUAGUGAAACCUGCUAGAUAGUUUCUAUUUGUUUCGAACACCUCACUAUGAAACACCAACAUGUUUUUUAUCAAUGUGGAACCAAUAAGAAUACAGCUGGAUCGCUACAUAAUCAUACACUGCUCAAUUACGACCAAGAAACCCCUCUUUAUAUUUGAUAAUUGAAAUGUCACUUUAGUACAGAUCUGUGAUCGUGGGCUGUUUUGCGUUGACAGAGAUUACAUACCGUGAUAUUUUAAUUUACGACUAUACCUAUGAUACUCUGGACUAAAAACUCCAUCACCAGUGAAUUACCUAUACACAUUUGACUGAAUAUAAAUGUAAUCCGUUAUUCUUGCUAAAAAAAUGUUUCAUGCCUGUCAGUGUGUUGACACAAGCCUUGCCUAUUCUUUAAAUAAAUAAAAGUUGCACAUUUAUGUGACUCUUUCAUCGUAACAUGUACUUAUAUUUGUAUUGUAGAUAGUGGCUGUUAUUAGAUACAAUGUGCACUAUACAGUAUUUAAAACAUAAUCUAGCUGCCAUGAAAUUUUACAAAUGGCAUGUUCAUGCAAAAAAACGUGAAAUAAAAUGAUCUUGAUUGUAUCAAGUAAUCAUGAUUACUGCAAUUUAUGUAAAACAUUCAAUCGCUUAGGCUCCAAGGAGCGACACUAAUAAUACUCCGAUUAUACCAAAUGCCAGGAUCUCUCAGGUAAUGGCAGCAGCUUGGGGAGACCUUUAACCAGCAGUGGAUUGACCAAGGCUGAUGAUGAUAAUCAUGAAAUACUAGUUCACAUGAACAUGUGCUUGUGUUUUAUCUUGCACACAUGGGUCCUGGUACGCCACGCAACGAUUGCUGCAGACAACUUUUAACUUGCUGGGAGAUAAAUUGCGUGCACUGAGCCCUGUCCAUUUAAAUGUUGGUGCAGUUUGAGAUAAGGAUUGGAUACAGCUAAAUGUUUCAUUAAGUAGAACUAAAGCAAUUUAUUUAAAUUAUCUCCGAGCAGAUAUCGAACUUAAAAGCAGGCAAAGUAAAUGAUCUUACCACUAACAUCAGGAUAGAAAUUACUCAAUAGAGUUCCAUGAAUACAUUAAUAGGGGAGGGAAGAAAAUUUACCGUGGCGAGAUGAGGCAAAAUGGUCAGGCCAUUCCAGGUCUUUCCACAGUCACACGUAUACAUGCAUAAUUUGUGAACAGGCAAUUCCGUUGGUUCCACACAUUAGGGGAGAAAAAAAUCCUACUAAUUACAGUACAUAUCUGCGUGACCUAAGCCGGGGGUUAUAUUUAAAUGUGUAUAAGCAUACAAGGGAAUCGGCUAACUGUGCCUGAUAGAGAGGCUCUGCAGUGGCAGAAAGGCAUAUGGUUAAAUUCAUUAAAUCCAUUAACAUGCAGCCAUCCAUUAUCACAACCUCACGCUUUCACGAAAGUGGUCAGAAAAUACUGCGUGUUGUAAACGUGUGAUAGCAAAAUUGGCAAUCUAACUUGGAGACUAUGCAAAGGAGAUGCAUUCAUUUAAAAAAAAAAUGUUUACGUUUAACGCCAUUCUUUCUCUGUACAUCAUCAUGGUCACCAUGAGAGCUUUCAUUUUGCAUGUCACAUAUUUGUGUUUAUGAGACCGAUAUUAUUCAGCUCGGAUCUUCACUAUAAAUGUACUUGAAAAGCAAAUUCUGCUUGGGCAAACUCGACCAUUACCUGUCGCUUUUGCACAGUGCCAGUCACAUGUAUAACAGUUAAUCAUUCAAUUCGUCAAUAUCUGCAUCGGGUAAUUUAAUUCCAGGAGCUCCCUUGGCAGCCUUACUUCUAUAUCCAGACUGACUAGCUGAGCACUUUAAAAUGAAGUCAUCAUCAUCAGCCACAGUCUUUUUCACUCCCAGUUGAAGGCCUCCCCAAGGCGUCGCCAUCUGUCAUGGUUCAACAAUCCCAACAAUCCACCCAGCUGCUGUGCACAAGCUGAUAUGUAAUCGCUUUGUCACCACCGUGGACGUCCUCUAGAGCAUGUUCACAAUGUUGGCUGCCAUUUCUGUAGCGAGCAAUGCAUCACACUGUGUCAGAGAAUGCCCCCUCAAAGAUGAUGUCUCAGAAUUACUUUUUGAAGUCACUUCAAAUACGCCUUGAGAUCCACGCUCGAGGUUAUACCUUUUGCAUGCCUUGUAAAAAGUGUGUUCGUUGUGUGUAAAUCAAGCCAAAAUGUGUAAUUUUACUAUCUGAGAAUAAACCAAAUCAAGUGAAAGCCCGGAUUUAAUAGUGUGUCAUUUGUGGCCAGGGUGAGGCCAUCAAUUAACUACAAUUGAGAACCUGGUUGAAUCAUUGGGUGGCUGCAUGGAUUUGAAACGAGGAUCUCAAAAGUGGGAACUCGGUCUGUUCAUUGAAUUGGAAUCGACAACCCUUGCCAUUAUGGGUGGUGCUGCCUGUCCUGGUGGCAUCUCUCACACCUGUAUGGGUUGACAGGUCGAUGUGCGAUAGGCCAUUGCAGUUGCGUAUAAUUCCAUCUCCUUCAAUCGGGUAUUGCGUUUCCCGAUUCGUCUUUGCCGCAUUGAUCUUGACAGCUGGGAUAACUUUGCAGCAGAUAGAGGUUGUGGUUAGCACAGAUGCAUGAAGGCACAACAGGCUUUUGAAGAGAGUAUAACCAUCUCCCACCGACAAGAAAAGAGAAAGCCGACUUAGUUCUCUGGCGUGGGAUAGCAGCCUCAAUCGGCAGGCCAUCGAGUUUAUCUGCUUCUCAAUUCAGGCUAACGCGAUAAAAACUAUUGAACAGUUGUCAGAUUGCUGAAAGCGCAACCAAUUUCUAAGAAAUCAUCUUCGCUCAACGUGUUGUCUGAUUCAGUUAUGUACUGCUCACGAAAGGACACACCUACUGACAUUUAUUUAUUUUAUUCGGCGUUUUGACAAUCCACUGCUGGAUGAGCGUCUCGCCACACCGUACAGAUUGUGGGGUGGGGGGGGGUGGGAUAUUUAACCACACUUCACGCUGGGUUAAUGCAGGCUGGUGAAAGUGGUGAGCAUAGAUGAAUAUGAAUACAGCAGAACGAUGGAUGUUGCUGCACUGCCCUCCACUCUUCCGUGUUAACCCCGCAGCCUCUAUAACAACCUCCUCUGCACCUGGUGGGUUCUCGAGUUAAUUAUGCUUUCAUCAAUAUUUUAUACUGAAAUUAAUUAUUUAAUCGACGACACACAUUUAUAUAUGUAGUCUAUAUAUUUAUGUAUAUGUGGUCGAGUAAAUAUAUAUAUUCAUGUGUAUGUGUAUAUAACAUCCAUUGCAAUAUGUUAGAGACAAUUUUCAAAAUAAUAUUGGCCCCGUGUUAUUUUAUAAUGAGAACAGAACACAACCUACGGUUGUAUCGCUUGUGGAAUACCCCGUUCAGACAGCAUGUCCUUGCACGAUCCGGAGGGGUUUGCCGACGGCAACCUGCGGGGAUGCCCGAGCGGAGUGGCAGCAAAUAGUGAAGCACAGCGGCGCCGUAGACGCGUCCACCGCCAGCCCUGGGUUAUUUGCACGUGCGCGUGACACGUGACACCGUCGCCUUCAGGACACGCAUCGCCGGCGUGAAGGUAGAAAAGCCAUAUGUGAGGUUAAACGGGGGAGGAGGUGGGGGAAUGAGAUGUGAGAUACGGUGGUAGGAUUUUUAGGGUGCAGGGUUGACGGCAGGACAGCUAAUUGCAAAAUUGUCUCGUUUCAGAAGCGUCAAAGAAAGCCUGUAAAAAAAAACUAAAAUUCACAAUUUUUGUUAAAAAAAUAAUGAAUUUGAAAUUAGGUUAUGAAUCGCAAUGCCGUAACUGCAUUUUGAACAGAAAAGUAACUGUCUAUAUUUAAUUAGGGCUGAUUUGUAUACUACAGAUCCAUACAGGUCAAAACGACAUCCACAACAAUCGUUUAACAUGGAUAAAGUCACACCUCAAUAGCUCAACAAAACAUCUGCUUAGUUUUCCAAUUUUCGUUAUUACAUAAUUUAUUCAUGGGACAUGCUGCAUGGGAGGUAGAGAAAAGGUCAGUGUAAGUUUAGGCACGUAUAAUUGUGACAGAUCGAUUCAUUAACCUCUUGUCAUAAUCCCCGCCUGAUACAUUAUAUAUGCUUAACAGUGAUGUGUAUAAAGAGCAAUUGGUCCAUUCUGUUUCUUUAUAAUUUUAAGUUAUUAUUUUUUUUUGUCAUUUGGUAUCAGUAAAAUAAAGUAUUAUUUAGAAUCAAUAUGACUUUUGUGAAUUACAAAUAAAAAAAUACAUUAUGUAAAAAAAAAUGUACAGGUACAUGUAUAAUUUAAAGCAACCACCGCAUGGAAGAAUGAAUAAUUACAUAUGAAAAUGGCCUAGAAAUAUAAUUCUAUGGAAACUUUAUUUAGUUACGAUUAUAUGAAUCAGGGCUUUUCAUAGCGAACAUCAAAAAGCCACGAUGAGAUGUUUAGUCUUCCUUUAGUAAUAUUGUGCCGCAUUAUUUACUGUUGUGCAGCUAAAAGAGACCAGUGCUGUUGAUGGAUACAACAGAGAAGAGGUCUAGAAAAUAAGAAAAGAGAAAUAUAUGACCAUCAGAUCGAUGAGAUGCCAGACUGGCGUGAUGAUUUGCAAUUUAUCCUGCUUUCACCAGUUGUGAGCCAGAGGAUAUAUAUGAGGCGUAGCACACAAUUCAGCUAGCCGACCUCCACAGCUUCAAACCAUCAUAUAUUGUACGGGCAAACUGCAAUGAGUGAAUGUUACUUAUCAAAUGUGGAAAAGAUAUGAUUUAUUGUGGUGUGGCCUAGAUUGCCCUUUUGAAAUGAGAGUUGUAUGCCUGUUUCCUAAGCACUUGCUGAUCAAUUCAUCAAUGUCACCAGGAAAAUUAUAUUUACAGGAGUUGUUAAAUGUUGUAUUUUGAUGUUUUGAAUGCUUUUAUUUUACAUCGGACAUGAGCAGACGUUUAUUUUUUAAAAAAAUUGGUUUGAUUUAAUGGUGAAAUAUCAAAUAUUGUCACUAUUUUUGAAGUUAUAUUGUCACGUAGAAUAUGCACAUUGUUGUCAUCUGCUCUAAAAAUAUGACUGUUAUUUAAUGUUUUACAUCAAAUGUAUUCGAGUUGAAUAUUUACCAACUAUUGCUAAUAUUUUCUAGGUGAGUAUUCAAUACUUGUAUUUUUUCCAAUGUAUAUAUUUUAUUUUAUUCUAUACACCUGUCAUAAAAUUCACAGUAAUUUCAUAAAACAGCUAUGAAGUAUGUGGUAUUUUCCAAUUCAGCAUGAAUGUUUUAAAAGGUGCAUUGCAUUGAAAUGUAUGUUGUAUGCAAUUUUAAUUCAUGGUGCUAUUGUGGAGAAAAAUAUAAUUCUCACAGGACUAAAACCCAUAUAUUUAUUUCAUGUUGUGAACUGUAUUGGUAGAUCAAAUUAAACUUCAUCUACUUAACACCAUUUGUAUAACAUAUAUACUUUUACUACGGAUAGUUUUUAGCAGUUGUGCUGUAUAGCACUCCAAUGUGUUUUCUCUUUGUACUGCGCGUUGUUUGGAAUUACAUCUAUCAUAUAGCUCCAUAUAUAUAUUCCGUGACCUGCUGCCAGCAAGCCCUCGAUACUUCACGUGGCCUCAAAGUGCACCUACUGUAGCAUAACACAAGUGCCGUGGUGAACGGCGGUUGUAAUAUAUUAUUAUACACACACACACAGCAUUCAAAUGUAGCAUUCUUUAGAAGAACGUUGAUCAACCAGGUGGGGUGUUGACUGUUGUGUUAGCCGACUCUCUGGGUUGUAUUGCAUUAUAUGUCCAAGUUCACUAGGUUUGUUUUCUCAUUCAUUUGUACCUGAUGAUGGUUGCUUGUGUUGCAAUCGAAACGUCGUAUUCUAUUAUUAUUUAAUUUAUCUCUACGUGACUUUACCGAAAGAACCAAAGAGUAAUACAAAAAAACAUUGUUGCUUUAAUGAUAUUUGGGGAGUAGGUGAAAACUUGUAGCAAGGUAGAAUUGCAGGCUCUCUUGGAGGCAAUUCUCUGUUUUAGUCACUUGCGCAUCUCAGAAGGGGCACACAGAGACAUGUGGAACACAGACCGCUACAGUCGAGAGCCUCGUGUCACAUUUGAUUUUGGUCCCCACUUACAAAACCGCUUGCUUUUUACAUUCCACUGGGGCGUGUUCUGUUGUAAACAACAAUACUGCACUCAAUAACAUUCAGGUUUUGAUGAGCAAGUCAUUGCCUUUGGCUUUUGUUCAUAUUGUCCGGCAUAUAUUGUUCGAUAUAUUUAUUUUCAUUUGAUGAUUUAGCCAAGAAGGAUUCUUUAAAUUGAAAAGAAGAAAUGUACUAUGGUUUCAAUUCUGCAGCUUCUAAACAAACAAAAACAUGCGCAAAUACGCAUAGUCUCAAUGAGAUUCCUCCACGAACUGGCCCACAUUUUUGGAUAAUUAUUUAAGUGGGCAUACAUGAUUGAUACCUUGUGGUUUGGGUAAAAGCAGAGCAAAGUAUGUUGGCCUUAAAAGUAAAACAUGUCCCUUUGUCUGCUUGUUAACAAUAAAUAAUCUAACGAUGUAAUGUCAAAGCGAAACUCAUAGUGUGCCUCUCAGUCUCGAAUUAAAUGAGCUUUGCAAAGUACACUGCAGCAUAUAUAAUAACACGGUAAUACAUUAUUUAAACAAUGCAUUUUUUAUGCAAUGUUUCCAUUUUUUCGACGUGUGCCGAUUGCAAUAAAUAUUUGUGGCACAUUUCGGAUGCGAUUUUGUACCACUUUGGCGAGAUAACCAGUAUGGGAAAAAAACAAUACGACGAUAAACCACUGUCUUUGGAAUGCCCGCGAUAAGAUUUCCAGCAGCAUUGCAAGCCACUGAAUGUGCCAUGGUAAUUUGUAUUGAGCAAUCUUCUGUUCUCAGAUAGAAGGCUGUUUAGCACGUUGUAUCAGUCCGCUUCACUCUCUUGUAGUUUUCUAAUCUCAGCUUUUAAGAUUUAACAUCAUUUAGAAGGUGGAGUUUGCAGCUAUUAUUGACACCUGAGCAUUUAUUUGAUUGUGUAUUAUGCCUUUAUUCAGAGCUUCAGGUCGCAUCCCGUGUACCGCAUGCGUUUAACGUGUUUCGCCUAUCUUCACGCAGUACGUCUGAUUUUGGUGUUUGUUGUGAUUUCCAUUUACUUAAUUGCUGCAUUGUAUUUUUGAUUUCUUUAGCUUUUGUUAUUUUGGUGACCCAGGUCACUCUCGCAAAAUGAGGGUUCAUUCUGGUCUAUUGAGUUGAACUGAAAUUUAAUUGAAAAUUUGAGAAAUUUACAUGUGGAAUCGGUGCCAACACACUGCUCGAUUUUGGGAUUCCCUGUCCAUUGUCUCUUUUCCCAAGGUCUCAUAACAUUUGUUAGUUCAUAAUGCAGUAUAUGUGUUCAUAAUGCAGUAUGUGUUCAUAAUGCAGUAUAUGUUGUAUCUUAUCGAUUAAAACUUCGGCAGUGCCGUUUGUUGUUGCCUGCUUGGCAUUUCGUGCCUUUUCUCAACAACUUAGUUUGUUUUUAUCUCAAGCAUACGAAUUCCAAACGGAAUGCUGCACUCUUGUCCUGUGCAAAGCAGCAAGUGUAGCUUCGUAAAAAUAAAAAUUAUUUGAGAUAUUACACGCUCAAAAGACAGAAAUGCUUUCUGAGCGAUUUCAUUAUUCAAUUGGACACUGUUCGAUUCUCCUCAGUGGGUUUUUGACAGCAGGUCCGAUCAAGCUGUAUUACACUGAGCUUGCACUUCAUUGCACUUUUAGUUACGUGCAUUGAUUUUUAAUGCAAAAACCUCCCAUGCACAGCCAUCACAAGGAGCUCAGGUGUCAUGUUACAGCAGUGUAAUUAAAUCACUAAUUAAAUCAUCUAUUUUCCUCUUAGUUUAUUCCCUACAUGAAAUGUAUACAUAUGUUGCUUUCGAGCACCACCACAGAUACAUGGAAUGCAUACACUGGAUAGACUCUUCCCCGGCCAAAGGAAUAUGGAAAUGCCACCACCAGUUCAAGGCUGUGAAGAGCAGAUGAGCAUCGCCUGAAUGCUCAUUUGAGCAGAAAAUAAUUUUGACUCGCUGUCCACUUUAAGCAAGUCUGCAAACGUUUAAUGAAGAGGGUUUUUUUUUAGUUCGAAACAUAAAAUCGCCGUGCACUUUGUUGAGGUCAAAACGAGAGGAAAGAGAAAGAGAGAAUCCGGCUAAAUUCUCAACCCGCAAAUCCUCAUGAAAUUGGUUUAGAGGGCAAAAGUGGCUCAGUUCUUUUAAAUCCCCUCGUAUUCCUUGGCCAAAAGGCCUCAAUUACAGUCAUGGUUUUUGCAUUCCCCAGGCACUGUGCCAAAUGCAAUGACAGUCUGACAAUCCACCUUAAUCUUUCUAACUGUAUUUCUUGCUUCCUCUCUCUGCUAUGAAGAAGACCCAUUCCCUGAAAUGCCACCAAUCAUGUGUUUUCCUUUUUAUGGCAGUAUUAUUCAUGAAUGUGUUGAGUUUAUGUAUUUCAACCAUUUGUACAUGCUGUUUGAAUGUACAUACACGAUGAAGCUUUUAUUAAAAUGUGGCCUUCUUGUCUCGUACUCCUAAUAUCCAUGGGUUUGGGUCGAUCCACGAUUAUCCUAUGACUUCGCAAAUUAGCACUCCCAUUAUCUGUAAUUUCACAGAUAAGAAGACGGAGUUGUGGAAAGGUACUAAAUUAUUCCUCUAUCCGUGGCAUUCGUGAAUAAUACACUGCUGCCAAUUGUGCGGUGUGAAAGUCAUCCCUUUAUCCAUAACAGCUGUGCAUAAUAUUAACGCCACGGUGCUAAUUGUUUUGUUUAUUCACACCGCAAGAGUUGGAACAGUACGCAGAAAAGUUGAUGACCAUUCAGGAGUUUAACCAAAACGCACAGAAUCCAUGUUGUUCUGGGAUAAGCAGGAAUGUUUCAGAGGAUGUUGCUGAUUGUCUAAUAGCUGCGGAUAAUGAUGAUGACGACGACGACGACGUGUGAUAAUGCUUGAGGACAUUCUGUUGAAAAUUGUUGCCACCAUCUACACUGACCAGCAAUGCCACCACGGCUACAGGAUACAGAAUACUACAUACACUGUACUAGAAUACACUUCACUCAAGAGAAAAUUCAUCAAAUUAUCCAUAUGAACUAUGGAUAAAAGUACAUUUUUUUUCUGUGGAUUAUAGGACAAAUACCUCUACUUAUGUUAUUUCCCUUGUCCGCUAUCGAAUCCAAUCCGCUGUCAUGGAUGAGAAGAGUGUUAUUGUAUACAUGUGUGCGGUAUUUAAUCAUCUUAAUUAUAAUGUCUUAUGUUACAUACAAUACAGUUCCAAAUGGAUUUUUUUCUCCAUACUAUUUAACCUAAAUGUGUUUUUCUAUCAUUAGCUGAAUUAUUUAUUUAGGUUAUCUUGAAGCAUGUUAGGACACAGCAAGGUCAGCUAACAUUCUGGGGACCUGACCUCAGGAAUCUAGAGACUCAAGCAGACCCUAUAUUUUGUGGAAAAGUGAUAAUUACGAGUGAAGUAUUAAAUGUAUGUGUCACAUUUGAAUACUUUACAAUGUUUAAAAAAAUGUAAUGUGUUUUUGACCUCAGAAUGUAUAAUAUACCUGGUAAUAUUUGACCUCCAUUUAAAGUAAGGGUUUUUAUUUGUUCUUAUAACAUGAAUAAUGUUAGAAAUAUAUAUGCAAUUAAUCAAACCAUGAAUAGUGUCAACAAGCAACCAUACAUCAUAAAAGAUAAUGUAUUUUACCUAGCAUUCUAAUUUAGAUGUACAGUAUAUUUACAGUCAUUAAAGAUAUAUAAUUUGUUUCGUUAUAUUUUUUUACCAAUAAUUAUGUUUUUUUAAUAAAUACCAGAAGACAUGAGUGCAAAUUUGAAUGUGAAGCCUCAUCAUUGGCUAUUUUACAGGCAGAUGCAAAAUUCGUCAUCCAUUGUUGACCUUUAAAAAAGGGCAUUGCAGAUGCACAAAGCACCUAAAUUAGAUUUCUCACCACGGCACCUUGAGACGAGAAAUGUAAAAUCACAGACUGGAAAAAAAAUCCCAAUGCACUCAGACUCUAUGUAGAGACCUGUCCAUACUUACUGUGUAAUUUGGAGAUUAACCCUGAACUGUUAUGUGCCAAAACUGUCCUGAAAACAUCCAGAACUCAGCCAUUUUGAAAGGUUUUUAUUAUUAUUAAUAUAUUUUUGUGAAGUGAGAAUCGGUUGGGGGGUGAUUCCAUAACGGUUUUACAAAUACCAUUGCAUGGGGAAAACAUAACAUUUAUAGAAUGCUGCAGACCACACUAAUUUAAAACACUUUUUAAUAUUGCACCAUUAUAAGGUUAUUGCUUUCGCAAGCCUCUGAUGGUGGCAGGGGCUCCGCGAGAGGAAGCUCUGCAGCCCCUCUAGAGCAGUGGUUCUGAACAUGGGGUGCACGCACCCCCUGUGGCUGUGGGAUAUAUACCAUCUAGUUUAUAAGGUAACACCAUAUAGUUUAUAAGGUAACACCAUAUAGUUUAUAAGGUAAACCAUCGAAACGCAAGUCAAGCACGGGCACAUAAGUACAACUACUUUGUUUCAUCAAACCUGUGUAUUUAUUAACAUCAUACAUUGUUUUUACAAUCGAGAACCAAAGGGGUGCAAGGCCGCAGUAAAGAUUAAGAACCACUGCUCUAAAGGGUAUGUUGGCCUACUCUUCCACACUACUCAGACUUCCUGGAAAAGGUGGAAGUAUACCCAUCCUUUGCCCCACACUGAUCGCCCCUCGAAAUGUGCAGCGUUGAGUUAAAUUACAUUGAUUAAAUCAAUCUGGAGUAAAUGAAAAAUAACAACACAAAUGUGUAACAGUAUACAUACGUGAAUCUAAAUACAUAAAGCAGACCGUACAGAAGGAGGCAUGUUAUUUUGUGUUCGUAUUUUUCUCCGUAUAAAAAAGAUCCAUUGAACUGUUCCUGUGACAGGUCACCCAAUUUCAGUCCAGUACAGUAAGUGAAUGAAAAAAUAAAAUAAGAAUUUUGGACCCUAGGUACAUAUACAUAUAAAAUGUCCCUUUCCUUCAGGAAUUAACUUAACCUGGAGGUGGCAUGCUUGUUAGGAAUGCUAUCCAGUCAGGACCUGCCUGAUAAUUAGUUUGAUAACCGGGGCUUAUCGCAACCCACAGCCGAGCACACGGCUUUUAGGACUGAAAAAUUAGCCAAUUAGCCCAGAGAGGAUGGGAGUGGCGCUUGUGGUCCUUAGAUAGCAGCUCAGCUGAAUCUAUCCCAAUGCAAUCCCCCUAGGCAUAGGAAAAAAAACACUCACGCUUGUGCAUUCAUUAACAUAUGCAACGAUUGUACAUUGAUGGCAAUCGAGGUCGGUUUUUUUUACAGCACUAGUUAUUUCAAUGUAGAGCAUACGUAUUAAUAACACACGCAUUGUCAUUGAAGGUGUUUCAGUGCUGAGGAUGCUACUAUGUUUUUUUGGAAUGUGAACAUCUGUCAAAGUGCAUGGGUAAAAAUUGGAUGAGACCUGAUUGCCAACUGUGGAUGACAGAGUGAUGCUGGAUGCAAUUGGGUUCGCUUUUAAGAGAAUAUUGCAGGGGGUCUUGCCUUGGGUGAAUGUGGCAGGAUUAUCAUUUUUGAAUGUGGCAUUUUUAGUAGUAACCAAAUGUUAUGAAAUCAUAUUCCACAUAUUUCAUAUUCAUAUUUUUGAAAAGUGAAUUAAAAAGAAAAUUGUUAAAUAUUACAAGGAGCAUUGAGGGAAAACAUUAUAUGCACCAAACACAUUGUAACCAGUCGCCGUUGCUCUGAAUUUGUGUUCAAGCAAGUAAAUGCUACUGCACAACGCUUUCGAGACAACCUUGAAUAACACAGUGCUUUUACAAAAAAAAACAUGUUAAUUAUAAUUUAAUAGCUUGUUACGAACAUCUGGCUUUAUUAUAGCAGAUUAAUUUUGGAUGUUGUGUCCUUUACACAGUGGACGGAAUAUGUCGUUUUAGCGAAAACGUCACGCGAAUACUGUAAGAGAAGUGUUGUUGAUAUAUAAAUUGCAUAAUGCAAUUCAUACAGUAGUGUCAUUUAUUUAUCUGGGUAUGCUUCAAU